CCCUUAGAUGUUCUGGGCCGCACGCGCGCUACACUGAUGCAUUCAACAAGUUCUACCUUGGCCGAGAGGCCUGGGAAAUCUUUCAAAUAUGUAUCGUGAUAGGGAUAGAUUAUUGCAAUUAUUAAUCUUGAACGAGGAAUUCCUAGUAAAUGCAGAUCAUCAUUCUGCGUUGAUUACGUCCCUGCCCUUUGUACACACCGCCCGUCGCACUUACCGAUUGAAUGAUCCGGUGAAGCCUCGGGAUUGUGCCCAGAGAACUUUAUUGUGAUUUGGGUGUGAGAACUUGUCUAAACCUUAUCAUUUAGAGGAAGGUGAAGUCGUAACA
rnacentral:rRNA from 1 species